AAAAAAAAAAAAAAAAAAAAAAAAAAAGGAGAGAAAGUGUGUUCAAUAUAGACGGGAAGGAGAGGGGGCCAGGAGGAAAGAGCGAGAGGGUGAAAACAAUGAUGGAGGCAGAAAGUAUAGUGGAAAAUCCCUUUUAAAAUAAUUUGUUGGCCAGGUGCAGUGGCUCACACCUGUAAUCCCAGCACUUGGGGAGGCCAGGGUGGGCGGAUCGCUCAAACCCAGGAAUUCGAGACCAGCCUGGGCAACAUAGUGAAAGCCUGUCUCUGCAAAAAAUACAAAAAUUAUCCAGGCAUGGUGGCACAUGCCUGUGGUCCCAGCUACUUGGGAGACUGAGGCAGGAGGAUCACUUGGGCCCAGUAGGUAGGGAUUGCAGUGAGCUUUGAUCACACUGCUGCACUCCGGCCUGGGUGACAGGAGUGAGACCCUGUAUCAAAAAAAAAAAAAAGAAAAAGAAAAGAAAAAGUCACAAUGUUUUCAAGAUAGAAGAGACUUCAUUCAGCUUGUAUAUCUGUAGAAAGGAAGGAGACCACAGACAGGACGCUGUUAAAUGGGAAGAGAAGGGGACAAUGGGUGCAUGAUGGUUCCUAAGAGGCAUAGCACCAAGGGUUCUCAUAGAAGGGCUAACCUUGGCUGGAAGGAGGGACCCCUCCUCUUCUGACGCAGAAAGGAAGGCAAGGUGGGUAAGUGAUGAUACAUUGAUGCUGAGGGGUGGAGAAGAAAUGAAUGAGGGAGGGAGCUGGUAGACUUGACCUCAGAAAAGACAGAAUCCACGUUCUUCUCUUCCAAAGGAAAGUCACCCCACCUCUUCUCUCCUCCACCCCUGGCUCAGAGUUUGAGGCUUGGCAGUGGAAAGAAUGUGUGGGUCAGUGAUGAGCUUUCAGAAAAGAGGUGCUUAAAAAGCUUACACAGUAACCUCCAAGGACCAGGUUUCUACUGGCUACAUGGAUAUGUAGAAGAACCAGUGGCCCAUUCAUUCACCCAGCAAUCAUGUGUCCUCCAUUUAUGUACCCAACAUUCACGUGUCCUCCAUUUAUUCACCCAACAAUCACCUGUCCUCCAUUUAUUCACCCAACAAUCACGUGUCCUCCAUUUGUUCACCCAGCAAUCACGUGUCCUCCAUUCAUUCACCCAGCAAUCACAUGUCCAGCACCUACCUCGAGCCAGGUGCUACUUAGAGCCUUGUUCAGCAGUGAACAAAAGAGGCUGAGUCCCUUCAUGAAGGAGUUCGCAGACUAGAUGAGAAGACAGGCAAACAGGCAGUUGGGACACAGUGUGGGGAAUGCUACAGUAGGGUAAAUAAGGGGAGCUGUCGGGGGGAUGGCCCCAGUGGUAACAAAAACUUAAGGCUGCAAAGAUUAAUCUAUUUAGAGUGAGUGGCAGAAUCAAAGGCCCAAAGACAAGAAGGAGCCUGGCUUUUUGGAAAGUAAAAGUGGAGCUGUGUGGCUGGAGCGAAGGGUAGGUGGCAAAGAAGAGAAAAGACCUGAGGUUGGAGAGGUAAGCAAGGGCUGAUCACAGGGAGCAGAGCCUGCCCCUCCAGUCCCACCCAACCUGCCUAGAGUCUGUGUUUUAUCCUGCGGCAGGGAGGGAGUUGGAAACAAGAAGGCCAGUUACAAGAGAGUAGUGACUGUGUAAGUGAAAAGAAACAAAUGGAGUUGAGAGAUUUAUAGGCGGGAUAAUGGACAGGCCUUGUUAAUUGAUUGGCUAAAGAAGAAGUAAAGGGAGACUCUCAAGUUUCUAGCAUGGGCAACUGGGUCAAGGGAGAUGCUGUUCACUGAAAUAGGAAACAGGAGGAAGGACUAGUUUAUGGGGGAAGAUGAAGAGCUUAUUUUGAGCAUGUGGAUUUUGAAGGGCCUGUGGGGAAUGUAAAUGGGGAAUGGCAGCAGACAGCUGGAUUUAUGUGUCUGGAGCCUGGAAGAGAGGUCUGGACUGGUGGCACUGGAUGAUUGAUCUCCAGCUUUGGAUGAUGAUGGAAGCCUCAGAAUCAUCGGGAUGAACCAGAGGAGAGGAAAGAGUAAGAAAAGAACAAAACGAGGGCUAGACCAGCAGAGAAUACAGCCACUUAGGGAUGAGCAGAAGCCGAAGAACUCACAAAGGGAGAGGAGCCCACACAGGACACUGGGAGGAGGGGCUGGGAAAGUAGGAGUUAAAGGAGUUAAAGAGCUGGAUGUCCUGAAGUCAAGGGAUGAAAAGCACAUUAAAGGGGGAACAAUAAGCAACUUGGGAAGCUACUGAGAGGUCAAGGAAGAAAAGACUCAAGGCAGUCACUGGAUCAAGCCACAGGGAGGUUUUAGUAACCUUGCUAAGACUGACUCCGAGGAGUGCUGGGUGGAUGCAGAAAGGAAGGGAGGAAGACAGCGUCACAGAGACAGUGAAUGCGAGCUACUCUCCAAAGACUGCAGCUGAGAAAGAAGGACAGAUGGAGGGGCAGACUACAGAGCCUAAGUCAAAGCUUGUUCUUGGACCCAGGAAAUAUGUCAAAUCCUUCCAGUGAAUGGUGCCUUUCAGGAUUGGAGACUACUCCCCCAGUUGCUGAUGGUGUGGUCAGCCCUCAGUUUUCAGUCCUCUUUGGGAAUUGCCUUGGAUGAAGAAAGUCACCUCACCCAAGAUCACUCCAACUCCUGGGACCCACAUCCAAUGAUUGGCCAAUAUGGGGACUCAAAGGCCUGGUCCCCCUUCCCCAACUUGAGACUACUCUGAAGGAUCACCCAGCUUCAGAGCUUCCCAUGGUUGAGACUUUUAGACUUCACUGUGGUCCAACCAAUCUCUUCCUAUACACGGUCCUGACUCCUUCACUUCCCUCCCAGCACUUCUUCUGUGUUAAUAUCAAACUUCUGUGCUAAUAACAAACUUCUUCCGUGC
rnacentral:lncRNA from 1 species